rnacentral:tRNA from 1 species
UGGCUCAGACGGUAAAGCGUCUGUCUACAAUGCAGGAGACCCAGGUUCAAUCCCUGG